CGUGCUGGAGAGAACCCCUAGGCCGUAGCCCUCCCAGGGCCACUUACAUUUUCUGCUGGGGUUGGAAUGUUGGUCAAUUGGAGCCAACAGCCACCUGUGAUGGCAGGAUGGAGCUGUGCUGUCAUGGAGCAGUGCCAGGAGGAAGCAGGGUCUGGCCGAGCAGCACUGCCCUGGUGCUAAGAAUGGACGUGCAGCUGACCCAGGGCCACAAGAGGAGCAAAAGAUGCCUUCUCCUCCAGGAGGCGCUGGUCAUUGCCAAGUUGCAGUAGGAGCCUCUGAGCCCAGCGCUCUAGGGAACGCAGCUCAGGUCCCCAGCUUGGGCAGAGCUGCCUGACGAGAGAGAAGAGGCAGCGUGGGGCUCAGCCAGCUCUCUCCCUGUCCCUUACUGGUGCACAGGGCACCAGAAGGAGCCAACAGAGCUCAGGAGAGCAGUCUCCCAUCACUUCAAGUCCUGGAGAAGUUGCUGAGCUGCUGCCAUGCCAUGAGUUUCUCUCUGGCCUGGGCUGUGUCCCUAAGCACUGGUCCUGCAGCUGAGUAGCAGAAGCAUUGCUGCUCACCUUCUUCCCCCUUUUCUUGCCCAGAGGAGGACAUUCAGCUCCAGGAGCCUUAAGAGUCUGCUGGGGGGCCAGGCAAAAGUGAGAGUGACUGCAGCUCAGGUGGCCUUUUCUUCUGUAGGGGUACUCUCCAAGCACAGCCUGGUUCUUGUAGACUGAUAGCAAGCAAAGCCCUCCAGUGGUCCCACCUGGCCACAAAGGGGGACUGCUGCUCACCAGGUGAGUUUUGGCAAGAAGGGCAGCCUCCUGCCAGCGGUUGAUCUGUGCUCACUGAUGCUGGUUGGGGAGCCCAAGGGAGGCUGGCCACGGUCUGUGUGCUCUGGGGAGAUGAUGGGUGCCUGUCCCCGGGAGCUCUGAAGACAGGGGAUUGGACUCUUUGCCCCCAGCAAGGAGCCAGGUGUGGGGCAGUGCUCCUGCCGGCACUGUUGGAAGGCAGAUCCUCAGACAAGCAAGUGUCCCCGUACCUCUUCUGCAGGAGCUGCUGGCUGUCCUACAGCAGGAAGGGCUGUCAGUGGAGGGGAUAUUCUGCCUAGCUGCUGGCAGUACAGUGCAUGGGGAGCUGCUGUGGACAGGUUUGCCCUUCCCAAGGAGGCCCUGGACUAGGGUGCAGCCAUUGACCUGGAAAGCCAACCUGCCAUGCUGCUGCAUGUCAUCUUGAAGGCGACCACUUCUGACCUGCAUCUCCAUGGAGGAGCCGCUGGCUACCUGCCUGGAGAGUGCAAAGGCUCACAUGGAAGCCGUGGCCUCACAGGACUUCCUCCAAAGUAUCCCCUUCAUGCUCCCCAUGAACAGGCUCUACAAGGACUGGAUGGCAUCCAAGCAGCAGACCACCAGGAGAAGGUGGAAGGGCUGAAAGCAUAAGCAUGGGCAGCAGCCUGCCUGUUGAGCAGGAGCCUUGACCAAUGGCUGAGAGCCCCUGGAAAGCUGUGCAGCAUGGCCAUUGGCUUUCCUGCCUUGGGCAAGUGUGGGGACAGCUGAGAACAACACGUACUUGAUGAACCUUGUGCUCUUGUUCCCUCAGGGUGGCCGAGAAGUUGGCUGUGGCUAAUCUCCUCACCCAAAAAGUAAGCUCCAACAGCAGCCAGAGCGCUGAGGCUUUCAUGCGUCCCAGCGUGCUACAGGGAAUACACACACUGUGACGCUGGAGCAAGGAAGAGCACUCUCACUGUCAGCUCAGGAGCUGUUUUGCUCAUGCAUGCUCAAGUUACAAGUGCUUUUGGCCAAUGAAGCAAGGAGCAUGGGAAUCACAUCUUUAUCUUUUAAUUGCCAGCCCUAGCAGAGCAAAUUCUGCACUCAAUGGUUUGUGCACAAAGUGCAGAUUUGCUGGGCAUCACUGUUUGGUGCAAUGUGGUGUGCUGGUUUGGUGCAUUAAGAGCAGAGUCAGGAUCUGACAGAGUACCAAACAGCUGCAGAUGCUGCGUAAGACUGACAACUGCAUUUCAUCCUCCAAUAAUGCCUUUGGAACACCCCAGCUUCAGUUGGCACAUCUGCCCAGGCAGGGAAUGAGGCCAUUCCUGAGAAGAGAUGGAAACUGCUCUGUAUGCACAUCAGUUUCAGGUUCUGUAUUCUCACCCAGGACUUGUUGCAGUCUGAACUCAUCUUCCCAUCUGGAUCCUCCAUCAGUGACACUUAACUCUGACAGGUAUCUGUUGUGCAUUACAGCAUUUCAGAGCUAAAUAAUUUAUUUUGGAAGCGAGUUUUACACAUAACAGAAAAUGGAAGAGAACAGGAAUACUGCAGCAGUGAACUGUGUGGUAGACAAAUACAUUCUGCCCUACAGUUUCUAAACAUUGCACUUUGCCAUCCAUUGUUUCAGAAUUGAUUUCUCUCCCAUUAUUAGCCUCAAACGAAAAACCUGAUCCAAAAAGCUUUUUGUUUUUCCAGGGUGAUUCAUUGAUUUCCAUUUGUAAUAAUAAAGGUGAAAAUAAAGGAGAAUAAACAAACGGAAAA